GUGACCUCAAAUCAGGUAGGACUACCCGCUGAACUUAAGCAUAUCAAUAAGCUGAGGAAUGAGGCGGGAGAAGCUCAAAUUUAAAAUCUGACAGUCCUUGGCUGUCCGAGUGGAAUCUAGAGAAGGGUCUCUGCGCUGGACCAUGGAUCAGUCUCCUGAAUGGGAGUCGCAAAGAUGAGAAUCCCGUCGUUGACUGGACAGCGAGGCUUCUGAUGCACUCGCCUACAAGCUCAGUGUUGAAAUGCAGAUCAGAUGGAGGGUGAAAUAC
rnacentral:rRNA from 1 species